GUAGGGAAUAUUGGUCAAUGGAUGCAAGUCUGAACCAGCCAUGCCGCGUGCAGGAAGAAGGCCUUCUGGGUUGUAAACUGCUUUUGUCAGGGGAUAAAAAGCUCGUGCGCGAGUAAUUGCAGGUACCUGAUGAAUAAGCCACGGCUAACUACGUGCCAGCAGCCGCGGUAAUACGUAGGUGGCAAGCGUUGUCCGGAUUUAUUGGGUUUAAAGGGUGCGUAGGCGGCCCUGUAAGUCAGUGCUGAAAUAUCCCGGCUUAACCGGGAGGGUGGCAUUGAUACUGCAGGGCUUGAGUACAGAUGAGGUAGGCGGAAUUGACGGUGUAGCGGUGAAAUGCAUAGAUAUCGUCAAGAACACCGAUAGCGAAGGCAGCUUACUAAGCUGUAACUGACGCUGAGGCACGAAAGUGUGGGGAUCAAACAGGAUUAGAAACCCCUGUAGUCC
rnacentral:rRNA from 1 species